GAGUACGGCCAUACCACCAUGAAUGCGGCUGAUCUUGUCUGAUCUCGGAAGCUAAGCAGGGUCGGGCCUGGUUAGUACUUGGAUGGGAGGAAUACUCUUAAAUUUUAUAAACAGGACUCA
rnacentral:rRNA from 1 species